GCUCAGCCAUAAACUUAGAUAUGAUUUUACAACAAAUAUCCGCCCGGGGACUACGAGCAUCAGCUUAAAACCCAAAGGACUUGGCGGUGCUUCAGACCCCCCUAGAGGAGCCUGUUCUAUAACCGAUAAUCCCCGUUAAACCUCACCACUCCUUGCCCCGUACCGCCUAUAUACCACCGUCGCCAGCUUACCCUGUGAAGGCCCAAUAGUAAGCAGGAUGGGUGAACCCCAAAACGUCAGGUCGAGGUGUAGCGUACGAAGUGGGAAGAAAUGGGCUACAUUACUUGAAGCAAAUAAUUACGAAUGGUCACCUUGAAACAGGUACCUGAAGGUGGAUUUAGCAGUAAAGAGAGAGCAGAGUGCCCUCUUGAAGCCGGCUCUGAAGCGCGCACACACCGCCCGUCACUCUCCCCAACAACAAGAUAACUCAGUAAAUAACACAAUUUCAGUAGCAAGGGGAGGCAAGUCGUAACAUGGUAAGUGUACCGGAAGGUGCACUUGGACUAAC
rnacentral:rRNA from 1 species